GGGCCCGCACAAGCAGUGGAGCAUGUGGUUUAAUUCGAUGCAACGCGAAGAACCUUACCAGGGCUUAAAUGUAAGUUGCAUAGAUCAGAGAUGGUCUUUUCUUCGGACUACUUACAAGGUGCUGCAUGGUUGUCGUCAGCUCGUGCCGUGAGGUGUCAGGUUAAGUCCUAUAACGAGCGCAACCCCUGUCGUUUAGUUACCAGCAAGUAAUGUUGGGUACUCUAGCGAGACUGCCGGUGCAAACCGUGAGGAAGGUGGGGAUGACGUCAAAUCAUCACGGCCCUUACGUCCUGGCUACACACGUGCUACAAUGGCCGGUACAGAGAGCAGCCACUACGCGAGUAGGAGCG
rnacentral:rRNA from 1 species